AGUGAACGCUGGCGGUAGGCCUAACACAUGCAAGUCGAACGGCUGCACAGUAAUUGCUUGCUCUUUCGGGUGGCGAGUGGUGGACGGUUGAGGAAUACAUCGGUAUCUAUUUUUUCUUGGGUGAUAACGUAGGGAAUCUUACCCUAAUACUGCAUACGACCUACGGGUGAAAGCAGGGGAUCUUCGGACCUUGCGUGAUUGUAUGUGCCGAUGUCGGAUUAGCUAGUUGGCGGGGUAAAGGCCCACCAAGGCGACGAUCCGUAGCUGGUCUGAGAGGAUGAUCAGCCACACUGGAACUGAGACACGGUCCAGACUCCUACGGGAGGCAGCAGUGGGGAAUAUUGGACAAUGGGCGCAAGCCUGAUCCAGCCAUACCGCGUGGGUGAAGAAGGCCUUCGGGUUGUAAAGCCCUUUUGUUGGGAAAGAAAAGCAGCAGGUUAAUACCCCGCUGUUCUGACGGUACCAAAAGAAUAAGCACCGGCUAACUUCGUG
rnacentral:rRNA from 1 species